rnacentral:pre_miRNA from 1 species
AGUACAAUUGCUGGGUUGUAUGAUAAGUGUAUGUUUAAUUGUUUUAAGAAACUGCCAAACUGUUUUCCAGAGUGGCUGUAUCAUUUUAUAUUCCUACCAGCAAU